UUCUGAUGAAUAAUAUAAUGAGACUUCAGGAAGUGACAGAUGAUACCAGUCAGGUUAUUCCAAAAUUAGAACAAGUCACAUUUCCUCAUGGAACUUCUGGUGCCAGGAGACAUUGAGUUUUUGCAGCCCCUAGUCUGAAGGUGCCUGCGCCGGCGGAUGACCUGCGCUGUCACACAUGCUAGCUGUCCCUAAAUUUGACAAUGGCAAACUUUAAAAAGUUAAUGCAUGUCCCUUUGCCCCCUCAUCUCACCCCCCAUCCCCGGAAGAAUCGUUGUCUGUACAUUUUGAGUCUUGCUGAAUCUUCUUUAAGAACCUAUUUAAUCUAUUAUUUGCUUGCUAUUUAUACUUUUAAGAUGUUAACUGUUAAAUCAAGCAAAGUUUUGUUUUGUUUAUUUAAGAAUGGGCUUGUCAAAGUGAUAAUAUCUUCCUUGAAGCCUAAGGGUCAGUGUUUGAUUAAAAGGGUCAGUGUUUGAUUAAAAAUGACAGCAGUGUUAAAAUUGG